rnacentral:rRNA from 1 species
UCCCUGGUGUGAUCCUGCCAGUAGUUAUAUGCUUGUCUCAAAGAUUAAGCCAUGCAUGUCUCAGUGCAAGCCGUAUUAAGGCGAUACCGCGAAUGGCUCAAUAUAUCAGUUUUGGUUCCUUAGAUCUUACUCAGUUACUUGGAUAACUGUGGUAAUUCUAGAGCUAAUACAUGCAAUCAGAACUCUGACCAGUGAUGGGACGAGUGCUUUUAUUAGAUCAAAACCAAUCGACGGAGGGCCUCGCGUCCGAAGUCGUUAAUUUUGAUGAAUCUGGAUAACUUUUGCCGAUCGCACGGUCCAGCACCGGCGACGUAUCUUUCAAAUGUCUGCCUUAUCAACUUUCGAUGGUAGUUUCUGCGACUACCAUGGUUGUCACGGGUAACGGGGAAUCAGGGUUCGAUUCCGGAGAGGGAGCCUGAGAAACGGCUACCACAUCCAAGGAAGGCAGCAGGCGCGCAAAUUACCCACUCCCGGCACGGGGAGGUAGUGACGAAAAAUAACGAUACGGGACUCUUACGAGGCCUCGUAAUCGGAAUGAGUACACUUUAAAUAUUUUAACGAGGAACAAUUGGAGGGCAAGUCUGGUGCCAGCAGCCGCGGUAAUUCCAGCUCCAAUAGCGUAUACUAAAAUUGUUGCGGUUAAAAAGCUCGUAGUUGCAUUUGUGCGCCGCGCUGUCGGUGCACCGCAUCCGCGGUGAUACUGACACGUUUGCGGAGCAUAUCGUCGGUGAGCCGACGGUAAAACGUCGGUUCAAUAUCAAAAUCCUAUCGCGGUGCUCUUCAGUGAGUGUCGAGAUGGGCCGACAAUUUUACUUUGAACAAAUUAGAGUGCUCAAAGCGGGCUCAAAAUGCUGCUUGAAUAUUUCGUGCAUGGAAUAAUAGAAUAUGAUCUCGGUUCUAUUUUGUUGGUUUUCAGAACUCCGAGGUAAUGAUUAAUAGGGAUAACUGGGGGCAUUCGUAUUGCGACGUUAGAGGUGAAAUUCUUGGAUCGUCGCAAGACGAACAUCAGCGAAAGCAUUUGCCAAAGGUGUUUUCAUCAAUCAAGAACGAAAGUUAGAGGUUCGAAGGCGAUCAGAUACCGCCCUAGUUCUAACCGUAAAUAUGUCAUCUAGCGAUCCGCCGACGUUACUACAAUGGCUCGGCGGGCAGCUUCCGGGAAACCAAAGAUUUUGGACUCCGGGGGGAGUAUGGUUGCAAAGCUGAAACUUAAAGGAAUUGACGGAAGGGCACCACCAGGAGUGGAGCCUGCGGCUUAAUUUGACUCAACACGGGAAAUCUCACCAGGCCCGGACACCGGAAGGAUUGACAGAUUAACAGCUCUUUCUUGAUUCGGUGGGUGGUGGUGCAUGGCCGUUCUUAGUUGGUGGAGCGAUUUGUCUGGUUAAUUCCGGUAACGAACGAGACUCUAGCCUGCUAAAUAGGCGUCGCCAUUUAGGUGUGCGUGGCUCUGUCACGCAACUCACUGGCGACGUAUUAAAAUUCUUCUUAGAGGGACCGGCGGCUUCGAGCCGCACGAGAUUGAGCAAUAACAGGUCUGUGAUGCCCUUAGAUGUCCUGGGCCGCACGCGCGCUACACUGAAGGAAUCAGCAUGUUCUCCCUGGCCUAGAGGCCCGGGCAACCCGUUGAAACUCCUUCGUGCUGGGGAUUGGGGUUUGCAAUUAUCCCCCAUAAACGAGGAAUUCCUAGUAAGCGCGAGUCAUAAGCUCGUGUUGAUUACGUCCCUGCCCUUUGUACACACCGCCCGUCGCUACUACCGAUUGAAUGAUUUAGUGAGGUCUUCGGACCGACACGCGGUGGCUUCGCGGCCGUCGGCGUUGCUGGGAAGUUGACCAAACUUGAUCAUUUAGAGGAAGUAAAAGUCGUAACAAGGUUUCCGUAGGUGAACCUGCAGGAAGGAUCAAUCGUCGAACUGC